GACGAACGCUGGCGGCGUGCUUAACACAUGCAAGUCGAACGGAAAGGCCCGCUUUCCCUUGUGGAUUGCGGGUACUCGAGUGGCGAACGGGUGAGUAACACCUGAGUUAUCUGCCCCCAUCUUUGCUAUAAGCCUGGGAAACUGGGUCUAAUUCCCGCUAGGACUGCAGGGUGGUGCCUGUGGUGGCAAACGAUUUUCUAGUGCUUGGGGAUGAGCUCGCGGCCUAUCAGCUUGUUGGUGGGGUAUUGGCCUACCAAGGCGGCGACGGGUAGCCGGCCUGAGAGAGCGGACCUGAGCAUGGGGACUGAGAUACUGGCCAGACGCUAACGGGCGGAAGCCGUGGGGAAGAUUGCGUGAGGGACAGAAGCCUGAGGCAGCGACGCUGAGUGGGGAAUGACGGGCUUCGGGUGGUAGCCUCCUUUCGACAGCGAGGAAGCCACCUGGUUGGAAGGGUGGUGACGGUAGUGGUAGAAGAAGCACCGGCUAACUACGUG
rnacentral:rRNA from 1 species